GUCGAGCGAUGGAUUAAGAGCUUGCUCUUAUGAAGUUAGCGGCGGACGGGUGAGUAACACGUGGGUAACCUGCCCAUAAGACUGGGAUAACUCCGGGAAACCGGGGCUAAUACCGGAUAACAUUUUGAACUGCAUGGUUCGAAAUUGAAAGGCGGCUUCGGCUGUCACUUAUGGAUGGACCCGCGUCGCAUUAGCUAGUUGGUGAGGUAACGGCUCACCAAGGCAACGAUGCGUAGCCGACCUGAGAGGGUGAUCGGCCACACUGGGACUGAGACACGGCCCAGACUCCUACGGGAGGCAGCAGUAGGGAAUCUUCCGCAAUGGACGAAAGUCUGACGGAGCAACGCCGCGUGAGUGAUGAAGGCUUUCGGGUCGUAAAACUCUGUUGUUAGGGAAGAACAAGUGCUAGUUGAAUAAGCUGGCACCUUGACGGUACCUAACCAGAAAGCCACGGCUAACUACGUGCCAGCAGCCGCGGUAAUACGUAGGUGGCAAGCGUUAUCCGGAAUUAUUGGGCGUAAAGCGCGCGCAGGUGGUUUCUUAAGUCUGAUGUGAAAGCCCACGGCUCAACCGUGGAGGGUCAUUGGAAACUGGGAGACU
rnacentral:rRNA from 1 species